rnacentral:rRNA from 1 species
GAUGAACGCUGGCGGCGUGCUUAACACAUGCAAGUCGAACGAGGCACUUUUGAUUGAAUUCCUCGGAAAGAUAUCACUUGUGACUGAGUGGCGGACGGGUGAGUAACGCGUGGGUAACCUGCCUCAUACAGGGGGAUAACAGUUGGAAACGACUGCUAAUACCGCAUAAGCGCACAGUACCGCAUGGUAUGGUGUGAAAAACUCCGGUGGUAUGAGAUGGACCCGCGUCUGAUUAGCUAGUUGGCAGGGUAACGGCCUACCAAGGCGACGAUCAGUAGCCGACCUGAGAGGGUGACCGGCCACAUUGGGACUGAGACACGGCCCAA